GUGGUUCUCCUUAGACCAUCGUCGAUCUAUGCGUUUAUAUACUCUGGUUAGAGUUCAAUUAUGCUAUUAAUCCAUUACAGCAAUAAAGGCAGUCAAAUUCUGCUCUGCUAUUGAUCAAUGUUUGCUCUUUUUUCCUUUUCAUUGGGUGAAUAAAUAAUAAAAGACAAAUCGAAUCUUUCUAUUUAAAGAGUUGUUGACUAAUAAAACUACUAAAUGGAUGAUAAAAUUAAUUAAUUAAUUAAUUAAACUAGAAUAAUCUUAUUGACAAAGUAGGUGGUAGGUUCGUACGAUUCCGGAUCAUUGGUACUAAAAUGUGAAGGAAGAGAUCGAACUUUACAAGAAUUUGUUCUUACUGUAUUCGAACUGGUAAUUGAUUAAAUUUGAUUAAAUUUCUAUGAUGGUGACAUAUAAUGACUUAAAUAUUAUUUUCAGAGAAUAUCACACACGACUUUUCUAUCCUAAUUUUUAUCAAUUUUCCGAACGUAUCAUCACAUACCAUCACGUUCAAGACCCAGCCGACUCUAUAACUAAGGUGUUACUAACGCACAUUAAUAUUACAUUAUUACAUCGCAUUUUCACUGCCAUGGCCAAUUUCAGCGUUUCUCAUCAUUACUCUCUAUUUUGGCAAGUAUGGUAGGAAUCUUUAAAACAACGUACAAGAAUCAAGGGGAAGAAAUAAGAAACUGUAAAGAAACAUAAGUGGGAUAUAUAGUUUGUGAGAGCAUUCAAUUCAGUUCGUGGGGGCAUAAGCUUAAAUAAUUGAUGCAAUUUUAAGAGGUUUUUUUCCCCCCCUUGUACAAGGCUAGCUCUGUGUGUGACACUAUGAGCACACAACAGUGGUGAAUAAUAUUGCCAAAUUGCAACAAAGCUGCAGGGGCUAAAAGUUAAGUGUUUGAAUAUAUAAUAUUACCAAAUUGUUAAUGCUUAUAGGCUAUGUUUGGGAGCUAGGAUUAAUUGUAGGAUUGGACUAAUUAUUGGGACGAAAUAUUAAUACCAUGUUUGGCAUGCUUACUGGGAUUGGACUAAUGGAAUAAAUUCAAAUUUUAAUCCUAAAUUCAUGGGAUCGCUAAUCCUAAUUUUUAUGUGGGUUUAGUUAGGACUAGAUACUGUCAAGAAAAAUGUUUGUCCAUUUAUAAUAUCUUCCAUAAUUUAUUACACCAUUUUAUUUAUAACUUAAAAAUUAUUUAUUUAUUGUUUUUAAUUAAGUAAUUUAUUUUUAUUCAUGAUUUACUCAAAAGUUACUAAUUAAUUUAUUAUUUGAAUAAUUUUAUUUAUUUUAUUUAAUUAAAUGAUAUAUCUCAUUUGAAAUAACUAAAUUUAAAUAAUUUAUACUUCUUUAUUUGUGUGUGUGUAUAUAUUUCUUUUAAGCUUGUUAGUCUUCUGAACUUGUAAUUGGAGAAUUUUGAAACUUUCGCUACAUUUAUGAUUUGAGAGAGAAAUGUCAAGUGUUCAAUUUGUGGAUUUAUUUAAUAAAAUUUGAGAUAUUUCAGUUUGAAAUUUUGUAUAAGGAUUUCGAUAUGUAAACAACCUCCUACUACCGCGUGCUCCACACGUGAUAAAUUUGGAGUGUUACAGUUGUUAUGCUUUACAUAUCCAAAUUGAUUAAGUUGAAAAUUAGGGUAAGAUGAUUAAGUUCUAGGGUUUUACUCAAGAGAAUUCAAAAGAGAAAAGAUGAGGAAUUUAAGAAUUCAGAGGAGAGAGAGAAGAAUUAAUAAGGGUUGGAAUUAAUUUUAUUAUUGCUUGCUUAAAAAAAUAAUGAGAAUCACUUAUUUAUAGUAGCUCAACACACUCCUAAUUCUAAUCUAAUUAGAAUCUUAAACUAUAAUUGCAACAAAAAAACCUAAUCCUAAUAGGAAAGAAGUUAAAAUAAACUACUACGGUUAUGUAGAGAUUUGAUUGAAUUGAUAUUCAAUUCAACCAAUCUUAUCAUGCCACAUCAGUUUGUACAAAAUAAGUUUGUACAAGAGUUUGUGGCUGUAUCAUUACUCAAUUGCUAAUCUUAUAAAACCAAAACUCUGCCCAUGAUCUUUGACUAGGACCAACAUAAGUUGCACACAAGCAAUAAAAUUGAACCAGAAUCUACUCAAUAUCCUCUCCAGUCUCAACAGACAUAACCACUCAAGAACAUAAAUUAAACAACAUAAAAGAAUGAAUCAGAAACAAAAUCAGAGAGAGAGCAAGACAUAACGUGGUUCAAUCUUUUUUUGAGUCCGCACUCUGUUAUGAGUAAAACGCAAGCUUUCAUGUCGUUUUACAUUAAGUAAUCACGAGCUCCCUCACGUGACUUCAUAACGGAAUUAACCGAUAGCCAAUACGCUGCCGUUUGCUCUGGUUUAUAUUUGAAUUCAUUAACUCUACAGGUUCUAAUAGAUUCUAAUAUGAUUUUGUUUCAAAAUCAAGAUUGAAGAUCAUCCACGGCAGUAGGAGAUUUAAGUUGGAUGACUUAUGGUGUUGACAGUCUUUUUUUUCUUUUAUUUCCAGAAUUUAUUUCCUCCUUUGCAAGUUGUGUUCUCUCAAGACUCACAGCUCUGCCAAAUUCUGGCGUGAAGGCUUAUCACCUUCCUCUUUAAUGCAGCUUUGCAGCCCACAUCAGUAGCCAGUUGGAGUCAAAUGAAAAAUUUAGGGUCGUGUAAUUAGUCUCAUGCAUCCACAAAUUUGAUAACUUUUAACUCAAAAUGGGUAUAAACUUAUGGUGAUUUAAUAAGAAUGCAGUGAAGAAUUAAGAGAUAUUCAAGUGCCUGCAAUUGGGUUGGUUUCCCAUAUCCCAACCAAUCCAACAUUUCAGGAUAAGGCUUUUCGUUUAAAUUAAUAGCACAACGUGCCAGAGGGAUAGUCCAAAUUAUUGUUGCGUUCUCUCAACUCUCAAUUCUCAUGAUAUUAGUUAUUGCUUCGUAAAGAACAUUUGGCAACCUCAGAUGGAGGAAUCUGAAACAGAGAUGGCGUCAUUGCCCUAUGAUUGAGGCUUUGAAUUAACUCUUUCCCAGCAUGUUUCUUUGAUUCAUGAGGAUAUGCAUUCUCUUUUUUUUUCAUAAUACAUUAAUUAAAAAUUAUACAAAUGGAAGAAGGAAGCAAGUAAAGUAAAUCAAACAUUGAACAUGACAAGGUACAAAAGGCAAGCGAGUCUCAGGUAUCAAGCUUUCCUAGGCGACAAUCAAGUUCAACAAAGCAAAG
rnacentral:lncRNA from 1 species